rnacentral:rRNA from 1 species
AUGAACGGGGUAGAUCAACAUAUUACUAUAGCUAACGCUCUGUCCUCUCAUCUCACAUUGCUGAAAUUCAGAAGGAAUUUGGUGGGAGAUAAGGCAGAUCAGUGGCAGGAAUUAUUGAAGCUGUGUGAGAAAGUUGUUUUGAAUCAGGAAGAGGAUAAGCUUUUCCGGAUCCCUAAGAGUACGGGAGUAUAUAGUGUUAGAUCUUUUUAUUCGGUGUUACAAGUUAGGGAAAAGUGUCCAAAUAGAUUCUUAUGGAAAGUUAAAGUACCUCCUAGAAUUAGAACAUUCAUCUGGUUAGUUACAAAGAAAAGUAUCUUAACCAGGGAUGUUUUGCUGCACAGGGGUGGAAAAUGUGAAAAGCGU